AUUGUUGAAGUGCACCCGCCCUCAAGUUUCGGCCUUGACCCUGAGAUAUUCUCCUUCAAUAC
rnacentral:tRNA from 1 species